GCAUAUCAAUAAGCGGAGGAAAAGAAACCAACAGGGAUUGCCCCAGUAACGGCGAGUGAAGCGGCAACAGCUCAAAUUUGAAAUCUGGCCCCUAGGGUCCGAGUUGUAAUUUGUAGAGGAUGCUUUUGGCGCGGCGCCUUCCGAGUUCCCUGGAACGGGACGCCAUAGAGGGUGAGAGCCCCGUCUGGUUGGAUGCCUAGCCUCUGUAAAGCUCCUUCGACGAGUCGAGUAGUUUGGGAAUGCUGCUCUAAAUGGGAGGUAUAUGUCUUCUAAAGCUAAAUACCGGCCAGAGACCGAUAGCGCACAAGUAGAGUGAUCGAAAGAUGAAAAGCACUUUGAAAAGAGGGUUAAAUAGUACGUGAAAUUGUUGAAAGGGAAGCGUUUGUGACCAGACUUGGGCCCGGUUGAUCAUCCAGCGUUUUCGCUGGUGCACUCUGCCGGCCCAGGCCAGCAUCAGUUCGCGCCGGGGGAUAAAGGCUUCGGGAAUGUGGCUCUUCGGAGUGUUAUAGCCCGUUGUGUAAUACCCUGGUGCGGACUGAGGUUCGCGCUCCGCAAGGAUGCUGGCGUAAUGGUCAUCAGCGACCCGUCUUGAAACACGGACCAAGGAGUCGUCUUCGUAUGCGAGUGUUCGGGUGUCAAACCCCUACGCGUAAUGAAAGUGAACGCAGGUGAGAGCUUCGGCGCAUCAUCGACCGAUCCUGAUGUUCUCGGAUGGAUUUGAGUAAGAGCAUACGGGGCCGGACCCGAAAGAAGGUGAACUAUGCCUGUAUAGGGUGAAGCCAGAGGAAACUCUGGUGGAGGCUCGCAGCGGUUCUGACGUGCAAAUCGAUCGUCAAAUAUGGGCAUGGGGGGCGAAAGACUAAUCGAACCUUUCUAGUAGCUGGUUUCCGCCGAAGU
rnacentral:rRNA from 1 species